CGACAUGGAUGUAUAAUAUAACCAUAGACAGUAAAAGAAAGAAUAAUAUAACGGGCAGCGAAAACGGCGCUACAACGGGAUACAUACAUUGUAGCAAGUAAACCGCAUACAGUCUAUGGUUAGCCGGUUGUAAUACAGACUAACUUUAGCUUAGACCACAACAACAGUGAUCACAGUCCUGACCUGACUUUCUGUAACGUUACUUUCUUUAUUGUAAAGAAAACUAUCCUCGCCGCCCUGGCCUCCUCAAGUGACUUUCGAGAAAAACUGCAGAAGAAACGACGUGCUUUGCAAGACACUUUGGUAAAAAAUAAAAAUGAGGACGACACUCAGGCUCUGGUUCCGUCGACCAAAUUGAGUGAGGAGAAACUGCAAAC
rnacentral:lncRNA from 1 species